rnacentral:lncRNA from 1 species
UGCCUUCUUUCUCAAGGCCACACCCUUGUGCCUAGCUGCCUCAUCUCCCUCCCAGCUGCCAGGGAGGGACGGCUCCAUGGGCAGUGCCACGGGUGCCAGCUGCCCAGCCAGGAUGCAGAGAACCUCCCAGUCGAACAGGAAAAUGGGGAGAGUUGGAAACAGCCUUGUUGACAUGGUCUCAUUCUCUUUCUCAAUUCUUCUGCUCUAUAGUUUUUGGACUUAGAAAUCAGUAAUUCACCUGGUCUGUGGGUUCUUCAGAGACCCCUGAACACUGGGUGGUAUAAGCUGUCUGGGCAGUGGAAAAAAGGUCUUUGGGGUAUAAUGAGCAAAGCUGGCACUCAAUGGGCAUCAAAGGGAAGCACAUCAGUGAAGAUGGUGCGGAUCAUCCCACCACAUCAAAACCCUGGAACGCAGUAUCCGUUACCAGAAUUCAGGGCCAGGGCUUUCUUCCCCUGAACAGGAUGUCCUUCCGUUAGCCCCGGGAGAUCGUGGUGUCCUGCAGGACCAGCUGGACCCUGGAAGGCCGGUGGGCCCUGAUGUUCAUGCGGAAUUCUUUGAUGACAAAGUAGUAG